rnacentral:sRNA from 2 species
UUCUUUGUUUCGCUUAAUGGAAGGCGAGUGGCCGUUCCAACGGGGGAACCAAAUUCUAUCCGCGAGAGCGGUAUGGAUCGGGGCGAACGAUGCGCGGCAUCGAGAGCAUUUAAUGGCUCCAGCCCGACAGCUAACCUCGUCAGCAUCAUUAAAGAGCGAAG